rnacentral:rRNA from 1 species
UACGUAGGGGGCGAGCGUUGUCCGGAUUUAUUGGGCGUAAAGAGCUCGUAGGCGGCUGUUCGAGUCGGGUGUGAAAUCCUGAGGCUUAACCUUGGGUCUGCAUUCGAUACUGGGCGGCUUGAGUCUGGUAGGGGGAUCUGGAAUUCCUGGUGUAGCGGUGGAAUGCGCAGAUAUCAGGAAGAACACCCGUGGCUAAGGCGGCUCUCUAGUACGUGACUGACGCUGAGACGCGAAAGCGUGGGGAGCGAACAGG